CCUCCCCAACCGCCUCGCAGGAGCGCGGAGAGCAGCCGGGCCUGGGGAAGGGCGCUCUCGCGGCGGGCUCCUGUGAUGGCCCCGCCCCUGGUGGGCGGGUCUCUGGCUAGCCCGAGGGCAGGCUCUUCUCUGCCGCGCUCAUGCGGGGGGAGGGGCCCCCUUCAGCCUCUGGCCGCUCCCGGGGCGCACGCGCAGAGGAGUUUGGGGCGGUGGAGGGCCUGGGGCUGCUUGGAAGGAUGCACAGCAGAGCAGCGGCUGCUUGGAAGCAAAGUGAACCAAAACCAAAGCAGAUUAUCAAGUGUGAGCCUUUUUUCCAUUCCUGAACAUGGAAGUGCUGCAGAUCCUGAUCUAAACUUCAUUACUUGGGACCAGCCCCUUCUGAUGGAAUUAAAGUAGAAACCUACAUCCACACCUCACAGUUCAGGCCUAUCUAGCAGCAGCAUGAAGGAGCACUUGAACUCCAAGCCAUUCUACUCUUAGAAACAUAAUCAUCCAAAUGUGAACAUCCACAGUAGAUGUAGUCCUGUGAUAAUUUGGAAGCUUCUGAAGUAUUUCUUCUCUAAUGUGCUUCAUAAAGCAACUUCCCCUUCACUGAUUCUUUGCAUGUACAGAUAAUUGUUUCAGAGCAAAGAGCUGUAUCUUCAUAAUAAUAAUUUGAAAUGAUAAAUACCAUAUAUAAAUAAAAGAUGGGUUAAACUAGUGAAAAAUAAAAUAUUCUAAACUUUUAAA